CGGGUUGUAAAGCACUUUCAGUCGUGAGGAAGGCGGGUACGUUAAUAGCGUAUUCGUUUGACGUUAGCGACAGAAGAAAGCACCGGCUAACUCCGUGCCAGCAGCCGCGGUAAUACGGAGGGUGCGAGCGUUAAUCGGAAUUACUGGGCGUAAAGCGCAUGCAGGUGGUUUGUUAAGUCAGAUGUGAAAGACCCGGGGCGUCAACCUCGGAAUAGCAUUUGAAACUAGGCAGACUAGAGUACUGUAGAGGGGGGUAGGAAUUUCAGGUGUAGCGGUGAAAUGCGUAGAGAUCUGAAGGAAUACCGGUGGCGAAGGCGCCCCCCUCGGACAGAUACUGACACUCAGAUGCGAAAGCGUGGGGAGCAAACAGGAUUAGAUACCCUGGUAG
rnacentral:rRNA from 1 species